rnacentral:rRNA from 1 species
GUACAAGCGGGAGGAAGGUGGGGAUGACGUCAAGUCAGUAUGGCCCUUACGCCCUGGGCUGCACACGUGCUACAAUGGUCGGUACAGAAGGAUGCGAAACCGCGAGGUGGUGCAAAUCCUCAAAGCCGGCCCCAGUUCGGAUUGGAGUCUGAAACUCGACUCCAUGAAGUCGGAUUCGCUAGUAACGGCGCAUCAGCUACGGCGCCGUGAAUACGUUCCCGGGCCUUGUACACACCGCCCGUCACAUCAUGAAAGCCGUCUGCACCCGAAGUCACUGAUCUAAUCUUUCGAGAAGGAAGGUGCCGAAGGUGUGGGUGGUGAUUGGGAUGAAGUCGUAACAAGGUAGCCGUAGGGGAACCUGUGGCUGGAUCACCUCCUUU